GGGGGUAUAGCUCAAUGGAAGAGCAUUCGACUGCAGAUCGAGAGGUCCUCGGUUCCAACCCGGGACACCUUUUCUUCA